GUUAAGUGACUAAGCGUAUACGGUGGAUGCCUUGGCAGUUAGAGGCGAUGAAGGACGUGUAAGUCUGCGAAAAGCUGUGGUGAGCCGACAAAAUGCAUUUGAGCCACAGAUGUCCGAAUGGGGAAACCCACCUAUUUAUAGGUAUCGUUGUAUGAAUAUAUAGUACAACGAGGCGAACGAGGGGAACUGAAACAUCUAAGUACCCUUAGGAAAAGAAAUCAACCGAGAUUCCCCUAGUAGCGGCGAGCGAACGGGGAUUAGCCCU
rnacentral:rRNA from 1 species